rnacentral:rRNA from 1 species
UACAGAGGUGGCAAGCGUUGUUCGGAAUUACUGGGCGUAAAGCGCGUGUAGGCGGCUCUUCAAGUCAGGCGUGAAAUCUCCGGGCUUAACUCGGAACGGUCAAGUGAUACUGUCGGACUAGAGUACAGAAGGGGCAACUGGAAUUCUCGGUGUAGCGGUGAAAUGCGUAGAUAUGCGGAGGAACACCGAUGGCGAAGGCAAUCCCCUGGGCCUGCACUGACGCUCAGUGCACGAAAGCGUGGGGAGCAAACAGG